rnacentral:rRNA from 1 species
CUUUAGUUGCCAUCAUUGAUUGGGCACUCUAAAGAGACUGCCGGUGUCAAACCGGAGGAAGGUGGGGAUGACGUCAAGUCCUCAUGGCCUUUAUGACCAGGGCUACACACGUACUACAAUGGCCGGUACAAAGGGCAGCGACACAGCGAUGUGAAGUCAAAUCCCGAAAAGCCGGUCUCAGUCCGGAUUGGAGUCUGCAACUCGACUCCAUGAAGUUGGAAUCGCUAGUAAUCGCGGAUCAGCACGCCGCGGUGAAUACCGGUUCCCGGGCCUU